rnacentral:misc_RNA from 1 species
AGAGUUAAAUAGUACGUGAAAUUGUUGAAAGGGAAACGAUUGAAGUCAGUCAUGCUUGCAAGGAAUCAGCAUGGUGGUUUUCUUCCUUGUGCACUUCCUUGCUCGGCAGGUUAGCAUCAAUUUUGAUUGUCAUUAAAGAACUGGGGGAAUGUGGCUUCUUUGGGAGUGUUAUAGACCCUAGUAGAUGUGGCGAUUGGGAUUGAGGAUUGCAGCGAAUGCUUCUUGGCUAGUCACCUGGCUUCUGAUGGUCACCUUGCUUUCGAUAGCUUGCUAACGUUGGUGAGAUUUGAUUGUCUAGAUGUUGGAGUGAUCAUAAAUUCGCUAAGGAUGCUGACGUAAUGGCUUUAAACGA